ACGGAAGGCAGCAGUGGGGAAUAUUGCACAAUGGGCGAAAGCCUGAUGCAGCAACGCCGCGUGAGGGAUGACGGUUUUCGGAUUGUAAACCUCUGUCUUUGGUGAAGAAUAAUGACAUAGCCGAGGAGGAAGCCACGGCUAACUACGUGCCAGCAGCCGCGGUAAUACGUAGGUGGCAAGCGUUAUCCGGAGUUACUGGGUGUAAAGGGAGCGCAGGCGGGAGAGCAAGUCAGCGGUGAAAUGUAUGGGCUUAACCCAUGAACUGCCGUUGAAACUGUUUUUCUUGAGUGGAGUAGAGGCAAGCGGAAUUCCGAGUGUAGCGGUGAAAUGCGUAGAUAUUCGGAGGAACACCAGUGGCGAAGGCGGCUUGCUGGGCUCUAACUGACGCUGAGGCUCGAAAGUGUGGGGAGCAAACAGGAUUAGAUACCCUGGUA
rnacentral:rRNA from 1 species